GUUCUUGCUUCGGAAGAACAUAUACUAAAAUUGGAACGAUACACAGAAGAUAAGCAUACCCCUUGGCAAGGAUGACACGUAAAAUUGUAAAACAUUCCAAAUUUUU